UGUAAACCCAGAAACAAUGAAACUAACUGACCAACAAACGAAAAAUUAGUUUAAUCUGCCGUGACUGACUCAUAAGAACUUUUAACUUUUAGUCCUACCACUUUAAUUUCUUUUUUGAAAUGGUGCCCUCUGCUCGAAGUCCUAAUUGGAAGACGAGCCAAAUCAAAGCACGGUCAAACCGGAAGACUUUGGCAGCUCCAAGUUUGUUGAAUCUCAGUAGUUGAACUACACCGGCCUUCAGAUCUUUCUUGUUCCACUGAUUCAACGUUUUCUGGACAUAUGGAUUCAGAUUUUCAUCUUGUACCAUCAUCACAAACAAAUGGUAUUAGUCGGGGGAGAAGCUUUAGGAGCAUCAUUUCUGGUGCUGUAUGAUGCCAUUAAGGAACUGAAUGACCAUCCUUUGAUGUUAAAAUCCCUCCUUGGAGAUAUCAAAUCCACAGGUUCUAUAAAGAACCACUGAUCAAAGAGACAGCAGAGGAUGAAAAGGAAUUGGAUUUUCCAGAGGAUGAACUACAAAAUUUUAGAGUACAAAUGGAGGAGGAAGUUGAGCUAAUUCGCAAGUGCUCCAAGGUUGGUCAUUUGAGUCCUUACAAAAAAUAUAAGUACGCAAACAAACUAGUUGAAUUGGGAAAUUCUAUGCAAAGACUGUUGGAUAUACUGAAAGUGCAUGGCAUAAGAGAUGUUAAGAAAACCUUGGUUACGGUAAAGAAUAUUGAGACUAUGGUCCAGCAAAUUGAUCAAUUUUGGGAGACAAAAUAAUCCAUCUGAAAUUAUUGAAGGUUGGUGUGCAAUACCUGGACCUCCACCGCUUGUUGUUGGAUUGGAUGGGCCUUUGAUGGAAUUGAAGAUGAAGUUUUUCAAAGAUGAUAUGUGCGCCUGGAGGAAGUGGGAAAACUACACUGGCAAUAAAGUUUUGUCAAGGUGGAGAUGUCAGAGUUUGUUGAAUCUCAGUAGCUGAACUAGACCGGCCUGCAGAUCUUUCUUGUUUCACUGGUUCAUGCUUUUCUGGCAAAUAGAGACCAAAUUGGAUUUUCAUGCUUCAUUUUCGCUUGUCUUGUUGCAAGGGCUCGGAGAAUGGCUGCUGCGCUUGCUGGUGGAGCAGUGUUAGGGACAGUAUUUUUAGAGCUGUACAAGGGCGUUCAGACACUGAUCAGAACAACUAAGCAUUUUAAAGACCUUGCCAAAAGCAUCGAAUUGAAAUUAGAAUGCUUGCUACCACUGAUCAAGCAGAUUGAGGAACAAAACAUGGAACUUGGUCGCUCGAACCAGUGUACAGAAAAAUUUAAAAUAGAAAUCGUCGAGGGCCUAGAGCUUGUCCGAAAUUGCUCUAAGGUUGGUCCAUUGGAAAUAUCCAAAAAGAGGAAUUACAUCAGAGAACUUCGUAAGUUGGAUGGUUCACUUAAGAACUGGUUAGAUAUACUCAUGUCGGAUGGAGUGAGAGAUGGGAAGGAGACCUUGCAAUCGGUGAGGACGAUGACUAAAAUGAUGAUGGCCAUGUUUAUUGUUGUUCUUGGGGUUCUUGUCACAACUAUCAUUGUUAUAAUAAGAGAAAACAAAAGGCGUUGUGACAAAUAAGCACAACGAAAUAAAACUAUGAAAGAAAACAAUAAGGAACAAUGAUUAAUCGAGUUUGAUGCAAAAAUUGGGGAAAUCAAAUUUGAAAUUGCUCCAAUCAUCACAUAAAUAUAUAUAGGAACACAAGCAUGUAAUUAGUGGAUAUAAUUCGAUUGAGUUAUGUCCAUUUUGGUGUUAAAUAGUGGUUUUCAUUGUGAAUGAAUGAGAGAUUAAAACAAUAUUUUCAUUUGUACAUAGUUAGAACUCUGUGUGUCUUUAUACAACGAGUGAUUAAGAUUUAUAAUUCUUUAGCUCAA